rnacentral:rRNA from 1 species
UACGGAGGGUGCGAGCGUUGUCCGGAAUCACUGGGCGUAAAGGGCGCGUAGGCGGCUUUUUAAGGGUGCGGUGAAAGCCCGGGGCUUAACCCCGGGUCGGCCGUGCCGACUGUAAAGCUGGAGCACUGUAGAGGCAGGUGGAAUUCCGGGUGUAGCGGUGGAAUGCGUAGAGAUCCGGAAGAACACCAGUGGCGAAGGCGGCCUGCUGGGCAGUUGCUGACGCUGAGGCGCGACAGCGUGGGGAGCAAACAGG